rnacentral:lncRNA from 1 species
CUUUAAUAUGUUAAUCAUCCAUAUCAACAAGUUGCUUUUAAUACAUGUACAUUAUGGGGGGGAUGAUUAUUAAUACACUCCUAUCACUAGGGGAACACUUACUCACUAACCAAACACUCACACAGACACAGACAGGGGACAAGGGAACAAAGUAACAUCCCCACUAAGGAAACACUCACAGACAGGGGACCACUACUUGUAAACAAUUCAAAAAUGAUAAAUCGGGACAACAAUGUCUAAACUACAUUGUACACAAUUGAACAUGCAUAGUAGGGACCACAAAGCAUUAUGAAUGGUCACACAACAACACAAAAACCUAAUUCAAAUUAUCCAUCCUUAAAACGAAGACACACAUGUUCGUAAAACCGAAAACCCAUGAACCAUUUAUACGUCCAAACAGAAGACCAAACACGAAACGAAACUAACUAACCUUAACUCACGUCAACUAUCGGUUGGAUUCUCUUCGUCUUGUUUAAGAUUGCAGUUCCUCUUUGUCUUCUUCUCCG